rnacentral:rRNA from 1 species
CAGUAGCCACGGUAAUACGGAGGGUGCAAGCGUUAAUCGGAAUUACUGGGCGUAAAGCGUGCGUAGGCGGUUUGUUAAGUCUGCUGUGAAAUCCCCGGGCUCAACCUGGGAAUGGCAGUGGAUACUGGCAAGCUAGAGUGUGUCAGAGGAUGGUGGAAUUCCCGGUGUAGCGGUGAAAUGCGUAGAGAUCGGGAGGAACAUCAGUGGCGAAGGCGGCCAUCUGGGACAACACUGACGCUGAGGCACGAAAGCGUGGGGAGCAAACAGGAUUAGAUACCCCAGUAGUCCCUGUCUCUUAUAC